GCCCGCUUGGCUCACCGGUAGAGCGCCUCACUAGUAUCUGUACCAUCUUAAAACAUGGACAGGCACCAAGUGAUGAGGAGGCAACUGGUUCGACUCCAGUAGUGGGCA